ACCAGACUCCUACGGGAGGCAGCAGUGGGGAAUAUUGGGCAAUGGGCGCAAGCCUGACCCAGCAACGCCGCGUGAAGGAAGAAGGCUUUCGGGUUGUAAACUUCUUUUCUCAGGGACGAAGAAAGUGACGGUACCUGAGGAAUAAGCCACGGCUAACUACGUGCCAGCAGCCGCGGUAAUACGUAGGUGGCAAGCGUUGUCCGGAAUUACUGGGUGUAAAGGGAGCGUAGGCGGGAAUGCAAGUUGAAUGUUUAAACUAUGGGCUCAACCCAUAGUCGCGUUCAAAACUGCAUUUCUUGAGUGGAGUAGAGGCAGGCGGAAUUCCUAGUGUAGCGGUGAAAUGCGUAGAUAUUAGGAGGAACACCAGUGGCGAAGGCGGCCUGCUGGACGACAACUGACGGUGAGGCGCGAAAGCGUGGGGAGCAAACAGGAUUAGAUACCCUUGUA
rnacentral:rRNA from 1 species